rnacentral:rRNA from 1 species
GGAGGGGGCUAGCGUCGUUCGGAUUUACUGGGCGUAAAGGGCGCGUAGGCGGUAUGCCAUGUCAGGGGUGAAAGGCCUGGGCUCAACCCAGGAACUGCCUUUGAAACUGGCAAACUAGAGUCCGAUAGAGGAUGGCGGAAUUCCCAGUGUAGAGGUGAAAUUCGUAGAUAUUGGGAAGAACACCAGUGGCGAAGGCGGCCAUCUGGAUCGGCACUGACGCUGAGGCGCGAAAGCGUGGGGAGCAAACAGGGAUUAGAUACCCUGGUAGUCCACGCCGUAAACGAUGUGUGCUAGACGUUGGGGGCCCUUAGGCCCCUGGGUGUCGCAGCUAACGCGUUAAGCACACCGCCUGGGGAGUACGGCCGCAAGGUUA